rnacentral:lncRNA from 1 species
UUUGGGGACUUUGGAAAGCUGUGCAAUGCUUUAAGUGGGGCUUAAUGGGCCAUUCGAGUAGAAGGAGGAAGACAGUAAUGCUGGGGAUGAUUUGAACUGUAAGGGUUUGGCUCAAGAGUUUUCAGAGGAGAAGAAUUUUAGUACGUUCCUUACAGACUGUUUGUGUGAUAUUUUGCUCAUGUGUUUUGCCCUAAUCCAAAGAGUUAGCCUGAGGCUAAAGUGAAGAGAUUCAAAUUAAUUGCAUUGAAAAAGGAAGUCUCAAGAAAAGCCUAGUAUAGAGUCUGCCCUGUGGUUCACUCUUAUGAAGAGUGUUUUGAUCAAGCAUAGCCAAACUAAGAAAGAAAAAAUGCAAAAUAAAGUUUAAAGAAGCACCAGGAAGUGGAAUGGAGCUAAAUUCUGUGUUCAAGGAUGUUAAAUGUAUUAAGGGAAUGGUGACCUCAGGCCAAAAUCCCAUCUUGCAGUUAGACAAGAGGUAGUUAUAUCAUGUUAGAAGUUAUUAUGACCAGGUUAUUGUUUUCAUUAAAACAUAAGAAGAUAUGAUUAUGUGUUAGAUUGACACGGGAUGGAUUAUGAUGGCUAUUCUCCAUUGUCAACUUGACUAUAUCUAGAAUGAACUACAAUCCAGGCCUUAUAAAGAUUGUGUGAAAAGGCAAAGAAAAGCUUAGGUCCAGACAUGGUGGUACACACUUCUAAUCCCAGCAUUCAGGAGGCAAAGGCAUGCAGAUCUCUGAGUUUAAGGUCAGUUUACAGAGCAAGUUCAGGGACAAGCUUAUGUGAUAAAGGAAAUCACUGAAAACAGAAACUGGUGGAAAUAUAAUAGAACAGGGUGCCAUGUUACAGCCCCAGCAUGCAGCAGAAUUUAGCGUCUUAGGCCAUGUGGCUCUGCCUUUAGAGUCAAGAAUAGAAGAGUUUACAGAGACAGUUGAGGGCUUUUGAAGUUGGGCUAAAUACAUUUUGCAUUAUGAUAUGGCUACAAGCCUAGGAGGCCAGGGAGUGAAAUCUGCUAGUUUGAAUAGGUUUGACCUCCAUUUACAAAUGUAUUUGAAUGCUUGCCCCAUAGGGAGUGAUACUCUUAGGAGGUAUGGCCUUGUUGGAGGAAGUGCAUCAUUGUGGAGUGUUAGUGGGCUUUGAGGUUUCCUAUGUGCAAGGUCCUCCUAAUGCAGAGGAGAGUAUCCUCCUAGCUGAUUUUUGAUCAAGAUGUAGAAUUCUCAGCACCAAGUCUGCCUGCACCAUGCCAUGUUUCCUACCAUGAUAAUAGACUGAACCUCUGAAACUAUAAGCCAGCCGUAAUUAAAUGUUUUCGUUUAUACGAGUUGCCUUGGUUAUGGAGUCUAUGAUCAUAACAAUGGAAACCCUAACUAAGAUAAAUAUAGUCUAUCUGGCUAAGGAUUAAAUGAACAGAAUAAAAAUUGUUUGCACCUUUUAUCAUUCACAGACACACAGAAGCAUGCAAAUCCCCCUGGUGAUGUACUUAAAUGUUUCCCACUUCUCUAUAGUAAUACUGGUGUUUACUGUAAGUACCAAUUAUUUUAUAUUCCAAAAUUAGCAUGACAUGUGGUAAACACAUUGAUGUGUCCUGGGGAAAAUGAUGGCAUACUAGGACUCAUAUAUCCAUCCUUCAUCUACCAGAUGUUUGAGCUCUGUAGAAAAAGAUGGAAGUUUCUACAACUAUCCGAAAUUUGAAGUUUUUAAUUUAGCCUUUCUAUAAUUAAAAAAAAAUGGCUAAAAUAAUAUUUCCUUAAAGAGGAAACAUUCUUCUCCUACAUUCCUGGAUGGUAUACUAUGCAUGACACAUUUUGACUUUUCUUUCCAUUUCAUCCAAAUCCUCAGAUAUAUAAUUCUAUAGAUGGUUUCUGGGUUCCAACUGAGAUUUUUUUCCAGCUGAUUUGCACCUUUUUACACUAGAGACACAUUGCAGACACCUGAGCACUUAGUAGAAAGCU